rnacentral:hammerhead_ribozyme from 1 species
GUCCAGCUGAUGAAUUUUAAAUAGGACGAAACGCUCGUUCUGGAU